UUACAGGUCAUCUUUCAUUAUGGUUUAGAAAUAGUUUCUUAAAAAGAAAAUCAGGCACCUUCUGAUUUGAUAAAACUUUGAUGCAAGUUGGAACAUGAUGUAAUGUUUUAAUACUGGGAUCCUUAGGUAACUUGCUAAUAGAAAAUAUUGGGAGUAAGAGGAUAAAAAAUUAUCUAGGCCAUUCAAGGGGUGAGAAAACUGGGAACUGUUUUUUUUUUUCUGUGUGUGUGUGUGCCUCCUGAGUGGCUGGUACUACAGGUGCGUGCCACCAUGCCCAGCUAAUUUUUGUAUUUUCUUUUGGUAGAGAUGGGAUUUCACUAUGUUGGCCAGGCUGGUCUCGAACUCUUAACCUUAAGCAAUCCGCCCACCUCGGCCUCCCAAAGCGCUGGGAUUUCAGGUGUGAUCCUGCACCUGGCCCAGAGAAUGGUUAAUGAUCAAUCGUCUUUCCUUCACUUCAUGUAUUCCUGGUGAUGCCAUCAGUCAUAAUAGCCUGCCCCCACCCUUCUCUCCAUGAGAUUGAUCUCAUGAAAUAAGCAAGGCUAUCAGACUCUGGUCACUUGAAUGUUAAGAAUAAAACUGUCUCUGAGUUUCUGCUGCUAAAUCAGUUCGCUGGUUUUGAACUUCUCAGAGUCUGAUAACUCAGCUAUUCCUUUAAUUUUGUCAACUAUAUAAUACAGUAUAUACUAUACAACUACAGUAUCAGACUCUGGUUAUUUGAAUGUUAAGAAUAAAACUGUCUCUGAGUUUCUGCUGCUAAAUCAGUUCCCCAGUUUUGAACUUCUCAGAGUCUGAUAACUCAGUUAUUCUUUUAAUUUUGCCAACUAUAUAAUACAGUACAUACUAUACAACUACAGUGCAUUCUUUUUGAGUCUCCUUGAGUUUGCCAAAGUUGAUUUCUGAUAUUUAAAAUCAGAGGUGACUACUGCUAAUAACAUUGCCACUUGCAGAAAUGUGUUCUGGUGGGUAGGUAUUUCAUAAGAGUCUUAAACUCUCUUUAUUUAGAUUUCUUGUAUGUACUCCAAGCAACCUUCUGAUUACUAUUUUAGUUUCCUUAUUUCUUGACCAUUGGAGGCAGCUCUUCAGAACACCAUCAUUUUUUUUUCAUUUUUAUAUCAAUUAGUUCUUGCUGCACAACAAACUGCUCCAAAACUUGAAACUUAAUGGCUUAAAACAAUUACUCUCACUUGCAUGCUUAGGGAACUGCUGAGGGUCCUCUGAUCCAAGCCAGGCAAAGUUGGACUUGUCCUCAGGCUACAGUGUUGUGCCUAGUUCUUCUCCAUACACCUUCUAUCCUUGGCCAGCAGGCUAUCCAUGCUAUGUUCUUCUCAGGGAGCAGGGCAAGAUAGCAACACCCACUGUGCAAACAUACUUCAAGUCUUUCCUAUAAUAAUACCCUUCUACUGACAUCACAUUAGCCAAAAGGUCACAUGAUCAAAGCCAUGCCGGGAAGCUAUCUUAGGAAGUUCUUUUUACCUAUGGUAGAAAGAAGAACAGAGUGAAUAUUUGCUGUAAGGUAUUCUAAAU
rnacentral:lncRNA from 1 species